CUAAUGCCGGAUAUUGUGUCCUACUGCAUAGUAGGUUAACGAAAGAUUUAUCGUUGUGGGAUGAGCUUGCGUCCGAUUAGCUAGUUGGCGGGGUAGUAGCCCACCAAGGCGACGAUCGGUAGCCGGCCUGAGAGGGUGAUCGGCCACAUUGGGACUGAGAUACGGCCCAGACUCCUACGGGAGGCAGCAGUAGGGAAUAUUGCGCAAUGGGGGGAACCCUGACGCAGCAACGCCACGUGUGGGAAGAAGCAUUUCGGUGUGUAAACCACUGUCGGAAAGGAAUAACGGAAGACUUCGGUCUUUAUGAAUGUACUUUUAGAGGAAGCACCGGCAAACUUCGUGCCAGCAGCCGCGGUAAUACGAGGGGUGCAAGCGUUGUUCGGAAUCACUGGGCGUAAAGGGAGCGUAGGCGGAAGUGCAAGCAAUCUGUAUAAUCCUGGGGCCCAACCCCAGUUCUGCAGAUUGGACUGUAUUUCUUGAAUAGUUCAGAGGCAAGCGGAAUUUCUGGUGUAGCGGUGGAAUGCGUAGAGAUCAGAAAGAACACCAAUGGCGAAGGCAGCUUGCUGGGGACUUAUUGACGCUGAGGCUCGAAAGUGUGGGUAGCAAACAGGAUUAGAUACCCUGGUAGUCCACACUGUAAACGAUGCAUACUGGGUGUCCGAAAUUCGUUUCGGGUACCGUAGCUAACGCGUUAAGUAUGCCGCCUGGGGAGUACGUACGCAAGUAUGAAACUCAAAGGAAUUGACGGGGGCCCGCACAAGCGGUGGAGCAUGUGGGUUUAAUUCGAAGCAACGCGCAGAACCUUACCAGGG
rnacentral:rRNA from 1 species